rnacentral:rRNA from 1 species
CCAGCACCCGCGGUAAUUCCAGCUCCAAUAGCGUAUAUUAAAGUUGUUGCAGUUAAAAAGCUCGUAGUUGGAUUUCUGGCAGGAGCGACCGGUCUCACACCCUGUGUGAGAACUCGUGUUGUCUCUGGCCAUCCUUGGGGAGAUCCUGUUUGGCAUUCAGUUGUCGGGCAGGGGAUACCCAUCGUUUACUGUGAAAAAAUUAGAGUGUUUAAAGCAGGCUUAUGCCGUUGAAUAUAUUAGCAUGGAAUAAUAAGAUAGGUCUUUGGUACUAUUUUGUUGGUUUGCGCACCAGAGAAAUGAUUAAUAGGGACAGUUGGGGCUAUUCGUAUUCCAUUGUCAGAGGUGAAAUUCUUGGAUUUCUGGAAGACGAACUACUGCGAAAGCAUUUAGCAAGGAUGUUUUCAUUAAUCAAGAACGAAAGU